rnacentral:rRNA from 1 species
CAGUCGCCACGGUAAUGCAGAGGUCUCAAGCGUUGUUCGGAUUCAUUGGGCGUAAAGGGUGCGUAGGUGGCGAUGUAAGUCUGUUGUGAAAUCUCGGGGCUCAACCCCGAAAUUGCAGCGGAUACUGCGUUGCUAGAGGAUUGUAGAGGAGAGUGGAAUUCACGGUGUAGCAGUGAAAUGCGUAGAUAUCGUGAGGAAGACCAGUUGCAAAGGCGACUCUCUGGGCAACUCCUGACACUGAGGCACGAAGGCUAGGGGAGCAAACGGGAUUAGAUACCCCCGUAGUCCCUGUCUCUUAUAA